AUUGAACGCUGGCGGCAUGCUUUACACAUGCAAGUCGAACGGUAACAGGUUAAGCUGACGAGUGGCGAACGGGUGAGUAAUGCAUCGGGACGUGCCCGGUCGUGGGGGAUAACGCAGCGAAAGCUGCGCUAAUACCGCAUACGAUCUGAGGAUGAAAGCGGGGGACCGUAAGGCCUCGCGCGAUCGGAGCGGCCGAUGUCAGAUUAGGUAGUUGGUGGGGUAAAAGGCUCACCAAGCCGACGAUCUGUAGCUGGUCUGAGAGGACGACCAGCCACACUGGGACUGAGACACGGCCCAGACUCCUACGGGAGGCAGCAGUGGGGAAUUUUGGACAAUGGACGCAAGUCUGAUCCAGCCAUUCCGCGUGCAGGAUGAAGGCCCUCGGGUUGUAAACUGCUUUUGUACGGAACGAAAAGGUUUCUAUUAAUACUAGGAGCUCAUGACGGUACCGUAAGAAUAAGCACCGGCUAACUACGUG
rnacentral:rRNA from 1 species